GGAGUAAAUCUAAACGGCCGCAGAAUUUUAACUGUGNUAAGGUAGCAUAAUCAUUUGUUCUUUAAUUGAGGACUAGUAUGAAUGGUCUAACGAAAUUAUACUUUCUUAUUUAUAUACAAUAAAAUUUUAUCUUAAAGUCAAAAAGCUUUAAUAAAAUAAAAAGACAAAAAGACCCUAUAGAGUUUUAUUUCUAUUAUUAAAAAUAAUUCUGCAGAAAUUUUGUUGGGGCAACAAAGAAAGAAAAAAUUUUUCUUUACAUUAAUAUAAAUUAAAUCAUUUAUUUAAUAAAACAAAAUAAAUUACCUUAGGGAUAACAGCGUAAUUUUCUUAAAGAGUUCAAAUCGAAAAGAAAAAUUAC
rnacentral:rRNA from 1 species